CUUCGCCUGGUCUGUGUGCGAGGUGCCGGUGAGCGGAGAGGGACCCGGUGGAGCGGCGAUGUUGGAGGUGGUGCUGUUCGUCUGUACUGCUGGACUGUGGAGCGUGAUGAUGAUAUCCAGGACUUGAUCAGACUGAACAUCUGGAUUCUAUUCUCAGGGAAAACAUACCUACUUUAAAGUGCACUGCAUGGCGUGAGCUGACUUCAGCGUCUGCC